GUCUCAGCUCAAAUGUCAUCUUUUAAGACCUGCCUUCCGAGACAGCAUCAGUCAUCUUAUCAUCCUUCCAUUGCUUUCUUUUUCUCUAAAGCACAUACUGGCACCCAUUUUUUAAAAAACUCAUUUGUCUUUCUGCACCAGGAACAAUCCAAACACGACAACAAAUGCCUUACAAGCAGAAAUCCCCAUGGAACUAAUGGGAGCAGAGGCCUCCCACACACCCCAAGCGGGAAUAGACACAUUUCACUUCCAAACUCUGACUAACAGGAUCUCCUGUGGCUCUUUCUGCCACCUGAAAAUGUUCACUUUUCAUCACAAAUCCAUUGUAUCAAAGAAUCUUUGCUAAAGGCUUCUGACUCAACCAGGCUGGGUGAAUCCUGAUUCAUCUGCGUAGUUGCCGAUACAGAAAGGAACUCGAUGUGGCACAGAAAGAGGAUGAUUUGCUAAGAGUUUGCAAAUCAAAAGUAAGAUGUAUGGAAUUCCGCUUCUUUCAGGAAGACUUUUUGGAUUGGAUCAGAUGAAAUCCAAUGGCUUCCUCAACCCUAUGCUGACAACAAUUAAUGAUUGGGCACCUACCCUGGGUCAGAGGGCUUUUGGAGGUACAGAGUUCCUGGCCUUGACGAAGGUAAAGAAAGAGACAUGUCCUAUGCUGACCUUUUGGAUAAUAGAGCAUGGCAAAUUGGAGUCUUCAAUUAAGCACACGGAAUACAUGUGCUGAAUUGCUUUCUUUGCAAGGUUCAGAGUCAGAAUUCCUGCCCUGGGUUCUGAGUUGCUGAGUGGAGACGAUGAUGGAGAGCAGUGGAGACACGUGAUUUUCAGGGUGCUCUUUGCAUGCAUGAAAUGGAGCAAGACUUAUGAAGGGAAAAUGAAAGAGGAGGAUAGGAAGAUACGUCACCUCCUGGGUUUCCUCCAAUCAUCCAGUCCUCAUCUCUCUAUAUGUCUUUGAACACUCUGAGCGCCAUCAUGCCAAUUCCAUGGAUGAAACAAAUACCCAUGACUCAGCAUUUUUCUAAUGAAAACACGUGCGGUCUGACCCGAAGGAGAAACCACAAACAGAAUUGAGAAAAGCAGGCAGGCAAAUUUUGCUUUUCUUUUUCGUUAACCAACAGAAAAUGUAAGGACUGUUUCAUUAGGGAAUAAAAAAAAAAUGACUUACAGAAUUAACCAGAAGCAGCUCAUGAUAAAAUACAGUAUCACGCUAGAAAUACAUGUUUUACUUUUCAUGAAAGCUAACCACAUUGCCAUGAUGGGAACUCUCACACAUUGCUGGUGGGUAUGCAAAAUGAGACAGCCAGUCUGGAAAACAGUCUGCCAGUUUCCCGUGAUGUUACACUUACCACACACCCUAAUAAUCCCAAGUCUAGGUAUUUACCCUAGAGAAAUGAGGACUUAAUGUUCAACCCAAAAUCUGCACGUGAAAAUUUGUAGCGGCUUUAUUCCUUGUCACUAAAAACUGAGAACAACCAGAUGUCCUGCAAGUGACUGAAUAAACAAAGUAUAGUAAUUCAUAUACUACAAAGUAUAAUUCAUGGAGUACUAUGAAGCAAAAGCAGGAAUGACUAGAGUUAAUAACAAAGUAUUGUAUUGUUGAAAAUUGCUGAGCGAGUAGAUUUUAAAUGUUCUCACCACAAAGAACUGAAAAGUAUGUGAGGUAAUGAAUAUGUUAAGUAGCUUGAUUUAGCCAUUCCACAAUGUACAUAUAUCAAAACAUCGUGGUGUAUACCAUAAAUAUAUACAAAUGUUAUUUGUCUAUUAAAGAAGUUAAUUAAAGAAAAGGAUGGACUAUUGAUACACACAACCACUUGGAUACAUUGCAAAGGUACCAUGCUGAAUGAAAGAAAUUAGUUUCAAAAGCUAUGAUUUCAUUUAGAUGACAUCCUCAAGAAGACAAAACUGUAGUGACAAGGACAGAUUAGUGACUAGGAGAGACUGAGACAGGGCUGGGGUGUGUAAGUAACUACAAAAGGAGAACAUGGGAAAUUUUCGAGGCAAAAGGGUUGUCUUGGGUUCCUGCAGUUGUGACAGUUCCAGAAACCUGUAUUUGUGUUAAAAUCUACAGAACUGUACACAGUGAAGCCAAUUUUACUGUAUGUUAACUUUAAAAAUAUAAUACCACAAUAAAAUUAAACAUCACGCUGAAUGCUAAGAAUAGGAUAGACUUGCUUCAAUGGAUGGGGGAAAGACUUGCUUAACGGUAGGAGCCAUUUCAGGCAGAGACACUGAGGCUACUCUGUAACAAGGGAGAAAGGCAGCCUGAAAACUUGGUAAAUCUGUUUCCAAAAUAUUUGUCAUGUCCUUAAAAAUAAAAGCACACUGGAAAACACAAAAACGGAAUCAACCUCUCAGUAAAAGUCCUAUUGGCAUAUCGUUAAUC
rnacentral:lncRNA from 1 species